ACAGCGGGGCCUGCAGAUGCUUUCUGCUGCCAGAGCUGGGACUGUACAGGCCACUGGGAGGCAGGAUGUGGGCCUGAAGAGCUUGGCUGCAGAAACUUCGGGGUCUACAAACGCCGGCGGGAGCUGAGCCAAAAGAGCUUGCUUGCUGGGAGGCAGGAGCUGGGCCGAGAGAUGCAGCCAGGAGGAACAGCUGGGCCUGCAGAGGCCGCCAUGCGGGAGGCAGGAUGUGGGCCUGAAGAGCUUGGCUGCAGAAACUUCGGGGUCUACAAACGCCGGCGGGAGCUGAGCCAAAAGAGCUUGCUUGCUGGGAGGCAGGGGGUGGGCCGGGAGAUGCAGCCGGGAGGAACAGCUGGGCCUGCAGAGGCCGCCAUGCGGGAGGCAGAGGCCAGGCCUCUCCAGACCCACUUGCAACCUCCCGGCGUCCUCUCCGGGCCCAGCUCUUCCUCCCGGCUGCGUCUCUAGGCCCGACUCCGGCCUCCCAACAACCUCUUUGGACUCAGCUCCUGCCCAGCUCCCAGUGGCCCUGGUAGGCCCACAACUUCCUGAAGCCAAGCUCCCCAGGCCCAGGUCAGGCCUCACGGUGGCCUCGCCAGGCUCAGCUCCUGCCCUCCGAUGGCAUCUCCAGGUCCCAAACGGCCUCCGGUCGGUGGGCUCCUCUAGGCCCAGCUUGGGCCUCCCGGCGGCCUCUGCAGGCCCAAAUCGUCCUGAAGUCGGCCUCUCCAGGUCCAGCUCCAGCCUCCCGGCAGCCUCUGCAGGCCUAAGUUGUCCUCAAGUCGGCCUGGAAGUGGGCCUGGAAGAGCUGCAAGUUGGCCUCCCUGGGCCCAGCUCCGUCCUCUUGGCCUCUCCAGGUGCAAAACUUCCUCGAGUCAGCCUCUCCAGGCCCAGCUCCUCCUGCCUCCCAGUGGCCUCUUUUGGCCCAGCCCAGCUCAUGGCUCUCAGCAGCCUUCCCAGGCCCCGCUUUUGACUUUUGGUGGCCUCUUCAGGCCCAGAACUUGACCUCCAGUCGGCCUUUGCAGGCCCGGCUUCCUGCCUCUCGAAGGCCUGCACGGGCCCAGCCUCAGCCUCACAGCGGACUCUCCACGCCCAGCUAGCUCUCGCCUCACUGCGGCCUCCCCAGUCGAAAGCUCCUGCCUUUCGGCCGCUUUGGCAGGCCCAGCUCCUGCCUGCCAGUGGCCUCUUUAGGCCCAGCUCAUUCCUCACAACGGCCUUUCCAGGCCCCGUUUUUCCCUUCCGGCAGCCUUUUGGCCUCUAAUUUGUUUAUCUUUUGUGUAUAAAUCCCAAAAUAUGGAAUUUUGGAAUAUUGCUACCAUUAUAUAAAUAUUUUCGUAUGUAAUUUAUUUGGAGUGAGUUUCUGCACCAAGCCUGAAUUUUUUAUUUUAUUUUCCUUAUUAUUUGGUGUUAAACAGGUUUAAUGACGGUCAUGGCAACUUUUUGGCACAAUGAAAAAUACCACCCA
rnacentral:lncRNA from 1 species